GAUGAACGCUAGCGGCAGGCCUAAUACAUGCAAGUCGAACGGGUGGUCGCAAGACCACUAGUGGCGCACGGGUGCGUAACGCGUAACCAACCUGCCCCGAUCUGGGGGAUAGCCCGCCGAAAGGCGGAUUAAUACCGCAUAUACCCGCAGCCUGGCAUCAGGCAACGGGGAAAGAUUUAUUGGAUCGGGAUGGGGUUGCGUGACAUUAGCUAGUUGGCGGGGUAAGGGCCCACCAAGGCGACGAUGUCUAGGGGACCUGAGAGGGUGAUCCCCCACACUGGCACUGAGAUACGGGCCAGACUCCUACGGGAGGCAGCAGUAGGGAAUAUUGGGCAAUGGGCGAGAGCCUGACCCAGCCACGCCGCGUGCCGGAUGAAGGCCUUCUGGGUUGUAAACGGCUUUUCUCAGGGAAGAAAAAGACCUCGCGAGGUACACUGACGGUACCUGAGGAAUAAGCACCGGCUAACUCCGUG
rnacentral:rRNA from 1 species